rnacentral:rRNA from 1 species
UACAGAGGGGGCAAGCGUUGUUCGGAUUUACUGGGCGUAAAGGAUGCGUAGGCGGAUAUUUAAGUCAGAUGUGAAAUACCCGAGCUUAACUUGGGUGCUGCAUUUGAAACUGGAUAUCUAGAGUGUGGGAGAGGAAAGUGGAAUUCCUAGUGUAGCGGUGAAAUGCGUAGAGAUUAGGAAGAACACCAGUGGCGAAGGCGACUUUCUGGACCAUAACUGACGCUGAGGCAUGAAAGCGUGGGGAGCAAACAGG